rnacentral:rRNA from 1 species
UACGGGGGGGGCAAGCGUUGUUCGGAAUUACUGGGCGUAAAGGGCUCGUAGGCGGCCAACUAAGUCGGACGUGAAAUCCCCAGGCUCAACCUGGGAACUGCGUCCGAUACUGGAUGGCUUGAAUUCGGGAGAGGGAUGCAGAAUUCCAGGUGUAGCGGUGAAAUGCGUAGAUAUCGUUUGGAACGCCAACGGUGAAAACAGACAGCUGGGAGUGUGCUGACGCUGAGACACGAAAGCCAGGGGAGCGAACGGG